UGAUAUUUGAUCAUUAUGCCUUUUACAUGCAAAUAUCAUUCUGGUGUUCAAAUAGAAAUUAAUAAUAUAUUUGGUUAAUUCAUUCUGAUGUUCCAGACAGCCAACUUUGGAAGGGACUCCGGUAUUAUUUACUUUAUCCAUAACUAUAGAAUAUUGAACAUACUACAUACAUAUAAUUGAAAUAUGGAACAUUAAUUAAAUUACAGUCUCCAAGCAGUAUAUUAUAUUCAUUAGACAUUCUGAUGGACUGAGUAAAUGUCCUCUAUUUCGCAUAUUUAUAAACUCUUGAACUUCUACUUCAAGAUUGGUACGAUCAUCUGAUGUUGAUAUAAGAGAAUUAAAACAAUCAUUGCAAGUUUUUGCUAAUGAAUGUUUUUUGGCAUUUCGAGCAACAUAACCAACAAAGUUUAAUCUAUGCUGUUUAUCUUCUUUUGAUGAAUGUUGAAUACUGACAAGAGAAUUCAACAUUUCUCCACCACUCACAUUGCUUCCUCUUGGUGGUUUUAUUAGUGAAUAGCAUGAUAAUAACCGAUAAACUUGGAUGAACUGUUUAGGAUCUGGAUUCUGAUUUGAACCACAUGCUUGACGUAAACAGCCAAAUAAAUGCUAAUGAAAAAGUCAUGUUGCAUAUAUAUUAUUUUAUAAGCACUCAUUUAAACAAAAUAAAGGUUAAAAAUUUAUACUUCUAAUUUAUCUUGAUU